rnacentral:rRNA from 1 species
UACGUAGGGUGCAAGCGUUGUCCGGAAUUAUUGGGCGUAAAGAGCUCGUAGGCGGUUUGUUGCGUCGGCUGUGAAAUCCCGAGGCUCAACCUCGGGUCUGCAGUCGAUACGAGCAAACUAGAGUGUUUGCAGGGGGAGACUGGAAUUCCUGGUGUAGCGGUGAAAUGCGCAGAUAUCAGGAGGAACACCGGUGGCGAAGGCGGGUCUCUGGGCAAACACUGAC